rnacentral:lncRNA from 1 species
UGCCAGUGAUACUCUAACAUUUAGCACUUGCCGAUAGCUCUACUUUCUCUAAUUAGCUCCCCUUGGCCGUUCACUCAGUGAGGUGGACUUUCUUGGUCCUUUUCCAUAGGCCAUCGAGCAAAGAAAAUUCUUUAUUGUAGCAAUCAACUACUUCACCAAAUGGAUCGAAGUCAAGCCACUUGUCCAGAUCAUCGAGAAGAAUACCUGUGACUUC